rnacentral:sRNA from 1 species
UGUUACUGUGACAGGGGACGAGAGAAA